rnacentral:rRNA from 1 species
AUUGAACGCUGGCGGCAGGCCUAACACAUGCAAGUCGAGCGAGCGGCGGACGGGUGAGUAAUGUAUGGGGAUCCGCCCGAUAGAGGGGGAUAACUACUGGCAACGGUGGCUAAUACCGCAUUGUAUAGGAAGAACCAAUAUGGGUUUAGCUAGGAGGUGAGGCAAAGGCUCACCUAGGCGGCGAACUCUAGCUGGUCUGAGAGGAUGAUCAGCCACACUGGGACUGAGACACGGCCCAGACUCCUACGGGAGGCAGCAGUGGGGAAUAUUGCACAAUGGGCGCAAGCCUGAUGCAGCCAUGCCGCGUGUAUGAAGAAGGCCUUAGGGUUGUAAAGUACUUUCAGCGGGGAGGCGUUACCCGCAGAAGAAGCACCGGCUAACUCCGUGCCAGCAGCCGCGGUAAUAC